AAUCCUGGAGAGAUCUGGGAGUGCUCGAAAGAGAACCUGCACACAGGUGCUGCAUGGCUGUCGUCAGCUCGUGUCGUGAGAUGUUGGGUUAAGUCCCGCAACGAGCGCAACCCUUGUCAUUAGUUGCUGCGCAAGAGCACUCUAAUGAGACUGCCGGUGACAAACCGGAGGAAGGUGGGGAUGACGUCAAGUCCUCAUGGCCCUUAUGGGUAGGGCUUCACACGUCAUACAAUGGUACAUACAGAGGGCCGCCAACCCGCGAGGGGGAGCUAAUCCCAGAAAGUGUAUCGUAGUCCGGAUUGUAGUCUGCAACUCGACUACAUGAAGUUGGAAUCGCUAGUAAUCGCGGAUCAGCAUGUCGCGGUGAAUACGUUCCCGGGUCUUGUACACACCGCCCGUCACACCAUGGGAGCGGGUUUUACCAGAAGUAGGUAGCUUAACCGUAAGGAGGGCGCUUACCACGGUAGGAUUCGUGACUGGGGUGAAGUCGUAACAAGGUAAGCGUAGAUGA
rnacentral:rRNA from 1 species